CCGUGCCCCCCAAAAAAGGGACCAAAACCCUUGUUUUUAUAUUUGAAGACUAGCCCCCCCUCAAUUCACUCUCCUUUUUUCUAUCCCUUGUUUUUAUUGUUGUUUUUUGAGAUCCUGUUUUGUUAGGUUUGGUUGAUUUAAGUUUAAAGCAACUGCUUUUGAGGUUUGAUUGUCAGGGGAGAGAUGAGAUUGAUGUCAUGUUUUGAGUCAGAUUUCACCUUAUUCUCCAAUGGAUUCGACGAAUGAACUUGUACUCUGGUUGCAGUUAAGCUAGCUGUAGCAAAUAUUUAUGAACAUGUUCUCAUACAAAAUAGUGGGAACUUCUUUCUAAUUUGGAGGAGUUUUAGCAUUCUGUUUAUGAAAUGAUAUGUUCACUUCUGAUUAGAAAAAAAGUAUCUCCCCCGAGAUUAGUUUCAUGCGUACUCAAAGUUUGCCGCCGAUCUUUUGCUAAUUAUUCUGUUCAGUUGCUUCUGCCUUCUUAUCAUUUAAUGCUUUAAUUUCUUUCUUUCUUUUUUUCCCCACCAGCUUGUUGAUUUUAAGUAUUUGGCCACCAGAUUAUAAGUAUUUUGCAGGUAUUUCAUGGCUAUCCUUCUUAGGACAGCUUUCUACAGGGUGGAAUGUUGCAGUUGCAGGUUAUGAGUCCUAUCUCACUGCUCAACUUGCUAGGCAAUGUAUUGCAGUUGAUGCAUCAUGACAUUGAUGCGGCUUCUGUCUUUGAUGCUGCUGCCACUUCUGUGCUGCUGCUGUUCUGCCUCUGUGGUGCCCUAAGUCGGUUUUGAAUGGCCAGUGCCUAUUUACCUUUUUCUACUAGUGAAAUGAUUGAGCAUGCUUGUGUUCGUAUUCGAUCAAACUGUCUAAAGUCCAUAUGUUGCUGUCCAAAGUUGAUGUUGUUGUUGUUUUCGUUUGUUGAAUAGACUGCAAGCCUUAUUUGUAAAGUUCUCUUAUUUGUAAAAAGUUUACAUUGUAUAAUUAAGAUUAAUUCUAUGAAUUUUUUUUUCUAUA